GACGAACGCUGGCGGCGUGCUUAACACAUGCAAGUCGAACGGGCCCGCUCUCUUUUUUGGGGGUGGGUUGAGUGGCGAACGGGUGAGUAUCACGUGAGUAACCUGCCCCCUGCUCCUGGAUAACUGCUUGAAAGGGCGGCUAAUACGGGGUGUGCCGGCUGGUCCGCAUGGGCCUGGUCGGGAUAGUUUCAUCUUCGGGUGUUUCGGUGGGGGAUGGGCUCGCGGCCUAUCAGCUUGUUGGUGGGGUGAUGGCCCACCAAGGCGGUGACGGGUAGCCGGCCUGAGAGGGUGGGCGGCCACACUGGGACUGAGACACGGGCCAGACUCCUGCGGGAGGCAGCAGUGGGGGGUAUUGCACAAUGGGCGGAAGCCCGAUGCAGCGACGUCGCGUGAGGGAUGGAGGCCUUCGGGUGGUGAACCUCUUUCUCCGGUGGUGAAGGCCCUGUCCGUUGCGGCGGGGUUGACGGUAGCCGGGUAUGAAGCGCCGGCUAACUACGUG
rnacentral:rRNA from 1 species